UACGUAGGGUGCAAGCGUUGUCCGGAAUUAUUGGGCGUAAAGAGCUCGUAGGCGGUUUGUCGCGUCUGCUGUGAAAACUCAGGGCUUAACCCUGAGCCUGCAGUGGGUACGGGCAGACUAGAGUGUGGUAGGGGAGAUCGGAAUUCCUGGUGUAGCGGUGAAAUGCGCAGAUAUCAGGAGGAACACCAAUUGCGAAGGCAGCUCGCUGGGACGGUACUGACGCUGAGGCGCGAAAGCGUGGGGAGCAAACAGG
rnacentral:rRNA from 1 species